GAAGCAUUUGAAAAGCGCUGCUCACAGACAAGCACACAGUUGCAAGUUUGGCUGCGUUUCCCGAUUGUUUGGUCGUCAGUUUUGCAGAGUUUUACCUGCGAUUCGUUCGUUUUUCACAAGGAACUUCACUCAAGAGCAUAUCGAAGCCGUCCACCGCUUCUCAGUUCCCAGCUGUACUUAUUUUUGGAGAAAAUGGCUUUGAGGACCCGCUCCGCUUCUGCUGCCACGAGCCAGAAUGAGAAUAUUUUGGCCGGCAAAGCCCUCAUGGCCAAGAACAAGAUGGCGACAGGCAGACCACGCGCUGCACUUGCUAACAUUGGCAACAAAGAAGCCAAUACGAAUAUCGGAAA